GCUGUAGCUCAGUGGUAGAGCAUUGGCGCUGCCAGUCAGUGUGGGCAGUAUUAUCUCAGUGGUCUGACUCAGUAGAAGACAGCUUUCUGUGUUAGUAUUUGGGAAGGGCUACAGCGUCUACCUGGCCUGCAGAAGGUCCCUGGUUCAAUCCCCAGCGUCUCCA